CCUACGGGUGGCAGCAGUGGGGAAUAUUGGGCAAUGGAGGAAACUCUGACCCAGCAACGCCGCGUGAAGGAUGAAGGUUUUCGGAUUGUAAACUUCUGUCGCGAGGGAUGAGGAAUGGCGGUACCUCGUAGAAAAGCCCCGGCCAACUACGUGCCAGCAGCCGCGGUAAUACGUAGGGGGCGAGCGUUGUCCGGAAUGACUGGGCGUAAAGGGAGUGUAGGCGGCAUAAUAAGUUAUGUGGGAAAGCCCGCGGCUCAACCGCGGAAUUGCACAUAAAACUGGUAAGCUGGAGUGCAGGAGAGGCAAGUGGAAUUCCAGGUGUAGCGGUGGAAUGCGUAGAUAUUGGGAGGAACACCAGAGGCGAAGGCGACUUACUGGACUGCAACUUACGCUGAGGCUCGAAAGCGUGGGGAGCAAACAGGAUUAGAUACCCGAGUAGUC
rnacentral:rRNA from 1 species